rnacentral:rRNA from 1 species
UAAUGUAUUUGUUAAUUGUUUGAGUAGUAUUAGAUAUGAUCUUGAAACUUAAAAAAUUUGGCGGUAUUUUAGUCUAUUCAGAGGAACUUGUAUAGUAAUCGAUAAUCCACGUUGUAUCUUACUUAAAUUUGUUUUAGUUUAUAUAUCGUCGUUAUAAGAAUAUUUUUGAAAAAUUAAUAAUUUUCUUUAAUUUUUAAAAAAAUUUAUAUCAGAUAAAGGUGUAGCUUAUGUUUAAGAUUAUUAUGAGUUACAAUAAAUUUAUUUAUAUGGAGGUUUAAUUUAAAUAAUAUUCUGAAGGUGGAUUUGAUAGUAAAAUAAUAUAGAUAAAUUAUUUGAUUUUAGCUCUAAAAUAUG